GCCAGUGUAGUAUAGUGGUUUGAGCACUGGACUAAGACUCUGGAAACCAUGGUUCGAAUCCCAGUUUGGCC